rnacentral:rRNA from 1 species
ACAUGCAAGUCGAGCGGAAAGGCCCUUCGGGGUACUCGAGCGGCGAACGGGUGAGUAACACGUGAGUAACCUGCCCCAGACUUUGGGAUAACCUUCGGAAACGGAGGCUAAUACCGAAUACGACGAUCUACCGCAUGGUGUGAUCGUGGAAAGUUUUUCGGUCUGGGAUGGACUCGCGGCCUAUCAGCUUGUUGGUGGGGUAAUGGCCUACCAAGGCGACGACGGGUAGCCGGCCUGAGAGGGCGACCGGCCACACUGGGACUGAGACACGGCCCAGACUCCUACGGGAGGCAGCAGUGGGGAAUAUUGCACAAUGGGCGGAAGCCUGAUGCAGCGACGCCGCGUGAGGGAUGACGGCCUUCGGGUUGUAAACCUCUUUCAGCAGGGACGAAGCGCAAGUGACGGUACCUGCAGAAGAAGCGCCGGCCAACUACGUGCCAGCAGCCGCGGUAAGACGUAGGGCGCGAGCGUUGUCCGGAUUUAUUGGGCGUAAAGAGCUCGUAGGCGGCUUGUCGCGUCGAAUGUGAAAUCUCAGGGCUCAACUCUGACAUUGCAUUCGAUACGGGCAGGCUAGAGUUCGGUAGGGGAGACUGGAAUUCCUGGUGUAGCGGUGAAAUGCGCAGAUAUCAGGAGGAACACCGAUGGCGAAGGCAGGUCUCUGGGCCGAUACUGACGCUGAGGAGCGAAAGCGUGGGGAGCGAACAGGAUUAGAUACCCUGGUAGUCCACGCUGUAAACGUUGGGCGCU